UCGGGAGGCAGCAGUAAGGAAUAUUGGUCAAUGGGCGGAAGCCUGAACCAGCCAUGCCGCGUGCAGGAUGACUGCCCUAUGGGUUGUAAACUGCUUUUGUCCAGGAAUAAACCUUUCUACGUGUAGGAAGCUGAAUGUACUGGAAGAAUAAGGAUCGGCUAACUCCGUGCCAGCAGCCGCGGUAAUACGGAGGAUCCGAGCGUUAUCCGGAUUUAUUGGGUUUAAAGGGUGCGUAGGCGGCCUAUUAAGUCAGGGGUGAAAUACGGUGGCUCAACCAUCGCAGUGCCUUUGAUACUGAUGGGCUUGAAUCCAUUUGAAGUGGGCGGAAUAAGACAAGUAGCGGUGAAAUGCAUAGAUAUGUCUUAGAACUCCGAUUGCGAAGGCAGCUCACUAAGCUGGUAUUGACGCUGAUGCACGAAAGCGUGGGGAUCGAACAGGAUUAGAUACCCUGGUAGUCCACGCCCUAAACGAUGAUAACUCGAUGUUGGCGAUAGACAGCCAGCGUCCCAGCGAAAGCGUUAAGUUAUCCACCUGGGGAGUACGCCCGCAAGGGUGAAACUCAAAGGAAUUGACGGGGGCCCGCACAAGCGGAGGAGCAUGUGGUUUAAUUCGAUGAUACGCGAGGAACCUUACCCGGGCUUGAAAGUUAGUGAAGAGUGCAGAGACGCACUCGUCCUUCGGGACACGAAACUAGGUGCUGCAUGGCUGUCGUCAGCUCGUGCCGUGAGGUGUUGGGUUAAGUCCCGCAACGAGCGCAACCCCUAUGUUUAGUUGCCAGCAUGUAAUGGUGGGGACUCUAAACAGACUGCCUGUGCAAACAGAGAGGAAGGUGGGGACGACGUCAAGUCAUCAUGGCCCUUACGUCCGGGGCUACACACGUGCUACAAUGGAUGGUACAGCGGGCAGCUACAUAGCAAUAUGAUGCUAAUCUCUAAAAGCCAUUCACAGUUCGGAUUGGGGUCUGCAACUCGACCCCAUGAAGUUGGAUUCGCUAGUAAUCGCGUAUCAGCAAUGACGCGGUGAAUACGUUCCCGGGCCUUGUACACACCGCCCGUCAAGCCAUGAAAGUUGGGGGUACCUAAAGCAUGUUACCGCGAGGA
rnacentral:rRNA from 2 species